rnacentral:rRNA from 1 species
ACACUCCUGCGGGAGGCAGCAGUAGGGAAUCUUCGGCAAUGGGGGCAACCCUGACCGAGCAACGCCGCGUGAGUGAAGAAGGUUUUCGGAUCGUAAAGCUCUGUUGUAAGUCAAGAACGAGUGUGAGAGUGGAAAGUUCACACUGUGACGGUAGCUUACCAGAAAGGGACGGCUAACUACGUGCCAGCAGCCGCGGUAAUACGUAGGUCCCGAGCGUUGUCCGGAUUUAUUGGGCGUAAAGCGAGCGCAGGCGGUUUGAUAAGUCUGAAGUUAAAGGCUGUGGCUCAACCAUAGUUCGCUUUGGAAACUGUCAAACUUGAGUGCAGAAGGGGAGAGUGGAAUUCCAUGUGUAGCGGUGAAAUGCGUAGAUAUAUGGAGGAACACCGGUGGCGAAAGCGGCUCUCUGGUCUGUAACUGACGCUGAGGCUCGAAAGCGUGGGGAGCGAACAGGAUUAGAUACCCUAGUAGUCCC